rnacentral:rRNA from 1 species
UUGACCUCAAAUCGGGUGAGACUACCCGCUGAACUUAAGCAUAUCAAUAAGCGGAGGAAAAGAAACUAACAAGGAUUCCCCUAGUAACUGCGAGUGAAGCGGGAAAAGCUCAAAUUUAAAAUCUGGUGGUCUUUGGCCACUCGAGUUGUAAUUUAGAGAAGCGUCUUCCGCGCUGGACCGUGCACAAGUCUCCUGGAACGGAGCGUCAUAGAGGGUGAGAAUCCCGUCUUUGGCACGGAAACCCCAGGGCUUUUGUGAUGCGCUCUCGAAGAGUCGAGUUGUUUGGGAAUGCAGCUCAAAAUGGGUGGUGAACUCC